rnacentral:rRNA from 1 species
GGACUACUGGGGUAUCUAAUCCCGUUCGCUCCCCUAGCUUUCGCACCUGAGCGUCAGAAACGAGCCAGGAUGCUGCCUUCGCCUUCGGUGUUCUUCCAGAUCUCUACGCAUUUCACCGCUCCACCUGGAAUUCCGCAUCCCUCUCUCGUUCUCAAGUCUUGCCGUUUUCCCAGGCCUGUGGCAGUUGAGCCACCACCUGUCACUGGAAACGCACAAGACCGCCUGCGUGCCCUUUACGCCCAAUAAAUCCGGACAACGCUUGCCCCCUACGUAUUACCGCGGCGGCUGGCAC